rnacentral:rRNA from 1 species
UACGGGGGGGGCAAGCGUUGUUCGGAAUUACUGGGCGUAAAGGGCUCGUAGGCGGCCAACUAAGUCGGAUGUGAAAUCCCCAGGCUUAACCUGGGAACUGCAUCCGAUACUGGAUGGCUUGAGUUCGGGAGAGGUGAGUGGAAUGCCGAGUGUAGAGGUGAAAUUCGUAGAUAUUCGGCGGAACACCAGUGGCGAAGGCGACUCACUGGCCCGAUACUGACGCUGAGGCGCGAAAGCGUGGGGAGCAAACAGG